rnacentral:rRNA from 1 species
CCUACGGGCGGCAGCAGUGAGGAAUAUUGGUCAAUGGCCGAGAGGCUGAACCAGCCAAGUCGCGUGAGGGAAGAAUGUCCUAUGGAUGGUAAACCUCUUUUGUCAGGGAGCAAAGUCACCUACGUGUGGGUGUUGGAGAGUACCUGUAGAAAAAGCAUGGGCUAGCUCCGUGCAAGCAGCCGCGGUAAUCCGGAGGAUGCGGGGGUUAUCCGGAUGUAGUGGGGUUAACGGGUGCGUAGGCGGGUUAGAAAGUCAGCGGGAAAUUCCGGGAGUCAAACUCCAUACAGCGUGUGAAAGUGAUGAUCUUGAGUGGGCGAGGAGCAUGCGGAAUGCGUGGGGUAGCGGUGAAAUGCAUAGAUAUCACGAAGAACACCGGUUGCGAAGGCAGCAUACCGGCGCCCGACUGACGCUGAAGCACGAAAGCGUGGGUAUCGAACAGGAUUAGAUACCCCAGUAGUC